rnacentral:rRNA from 1 species
AACGAACGCUGGCGGCAUGCCUAACACAUGCAAGUCGAACGCCCUCUUCGGAGGGAGUGGCGCACGGGUGCGUAACGCGUGGGAACCUGCCCUUAGGUUCGGAAUAACUCAGAGAAAUUUGAGCUAAUACCGGAUAAUGUCUUCGGACCAAAGAUUUAUCGCCUUUGGAUGGGCCCGCGUUGGAUUAGCUAGUUGGUGGGGUAAAGGCCUACCAAGGCGACGAUCCAUAGCUGGUCUGAGAGGAUGAUCAGCCACACUGGGACUGAGACACGGCCCAGACUCCUACGGGAGGCAGCAGUGGGGAAUAUUGGACAAUGGGCGAAAGCCUGAUCCAGCAAUGCCGCGUGAGUGAUGAAGGCCUUAGGGUCGUAAAGCUCUUUUACUGGGGAUGAUAAUGACAGUACCCAGAGAAUAAGCUCCGGCUAACUCCGUGCCAGCAGCCGCGGUAAU